AUUGAACGCUGGCGGCAGGCCUAACACAUGCAAGUCGAGCGGAGCGGCGGUAGGGUGAGUAAUGCCUAGGAAUCUGCCUGGUAGUGGGGGAUAACGUUCGGAAACGGGGACUAAAACUGCAUCCUUUCAAAUGAGGCUAGGCCGUAUUAGCAUGUUGUUGGGGUAAAGGCCAACCGUGGCGACGAUCCGUAACUGGACUGUGUGGAUGAUGAGUCACACUGGAACUGAGACACGGUCCAGACGCCUACGGGAGGGAGAAGGGUGGAAUAUUGGACAAUGGGCGAAAGCCUGAGGCAGCCAUGGCGCGUGUAUGAAGAAGGCCUUCGGGGUGUAAAGUACUUUCAGCGGGGAGGCGUUACCCGCAGAAGAAGCACCGGCUAACUCCGUGCCAGCAGCCGCGGUAAUAC
rnacentral:rRNA from 1 species